rnacentral:rRNA from 1 species
CGCCUGGGGAGUACGGGUGAGGUAACGGCUCACCAAGGCAUCGACGGGUAGCUGGUCUGAGAGGAUGAUCAGCCACACUGGGACUGAGACACGGCCCAGACUCCUACGGGAGGCAGCAGUAGGGAAUAUUGCACAAUGGGCGAAAGCCUGAUGCAGCAACGCCGCGUGCGGGAAGAAGGCCCUAGGGUUGUAAACCGCUUUCAGCAGGGAAGAAAAUGACGGUACCUGCAGAAGAGGUGCGGACCGGCCAACUACGUGCCAGCAGCCGCGGUGACACGUAGGCACCAAGCGUUGUCCGGAUUUAUUGGGCGUAAAGAGCUCGUAGGCGGUUCAGUUAGUCGGGUGUGAAAACUCUGGGCUCAACCCAGAGACGCCACUCGAUACUGCUGUGACUAGAGUGCGGUAGGGGAGCGGGGAAUUCCUAGUGUGGCGGUGAAAUGCGCAGAUAUUAGGAGGAACACCAGUGGCGAAGGCGCCGCUCUGGGCCGUAACUGACGCUGAGGAGCGAAAGCGUGGGUAGCAAACAGGAUUAGAUACCCUGGUAGUCCACGCCGUAAACGUUGGGCACUAGGUGUGGGUCUCAACCAACGAGAUCCGCGCCGUCGCUAACGCAUUAAGUGCCCCGCCUGGGGAGUACGG